UACUGGGGAUCGAACUCAGGACCUUGCGCUUGCCAGGCAGGUGGAGUGCCACUGAGCUACAGCCCCAGCUAUAAUGUUUUAAACUAGCUGUCUACAGUAAAAGGAGCUCGAGGAACAUUGGGGGCCCUGGGGGGCUGGCAGCGUGGGAGCCCUCCCCAAAUCAAAUGUAUUUUUAUCCCUCCCAGUCCAGCAGCACUGGUGCUGGCAGAGAGGGAUCAGGGGAGGAGGUCUAGUCAGGGUGGAGGAAGCUCUGUGACUCUGUGACCUUGGCUGGGGCCAAGGUCAGGGCUGGCAGCCCAGCCAGCCCAGCCGGAGGCCCCUGUUGGAAAGCCUGAUGCCCAGAUGGGCUCUUGCUCCCUCCAGCUCAUUAACCCUUGACAGCUCAGCUGGGCAGCCCAGGCCAUCUGCGACUCCUUCUGCUGCACUUCCGGCCUCUGUUGCCCCACACAGAGGACAGGACUCAUACCCAACCCCGGCAGGGUGGGGGUCAGGUCCAGAGCCAGAGCUGCCCUGCUCCACUCUGCUCAUGCCUGGGUUUCCUACUGGGCAGCAGCUCCAGUUCUUCCAGCCUUCCUAGGUCACCCCUCCUGACCCACCCAGGGGGCGUCCUGAAGGACCUGGACAAUACUCAGGGGUCCUCUCCCCCUCUCCAACCCCCCCCCCUUAGCCAGGGCCUCAGACCCCCCCCAAGGCCAGCUAGCGCUAGUGUGGACCCCUGACUCUAGGAAACCCCAGAGUACAGAAGAAAGGGUUUGGACAAGCAGGGAGGUUAUUAUUAUUAUUAUAUUAUUAUUAUUCCUGGCAGGUUGGGGGUCCUGUUGACACACCCAGCAGGCUGGGGAGGGCGGCUGUGGCUGGGGUCCCUGGGGCAGCCCCUGUGGAGCUGGACAAUGCUCCUUCCCUACGGUGCUCUAGGCAAUCAAGGGGGCUGUGACCUGCCAAUGAGGUCACAGAGCCCCAAGGUGCCCUCAGGGAGAGAGCCCAACCCUGGGUAUGAACUUUGACCAGAAGGCCGUGAAAUUCCUGGCCAAUUUUUACAUCAAUGGAGGCAAACACUGGACGCAUGGCCCCCUGAGACAAAAAAGGCCCGAGGCCGCCCUACUGUCCUGGGAUGCGGAUGAGAAGAGUCCCACCAGCCCGAAGAGGACCCCAAUGGGCUGGAGGUCAUUCGUGGGGUCCACCGGGGAGUGCCCGCUCACCCGCACCCGGACCCUACGGGGGCUGCUGCUGGAGCAGCGCCCCCCGCUCCUGGCCGACCCCGACGUGCCGGGCCCAGCAGAGUACGCGCCCAGAGCCUUCUUGCGGGAAAUCUGCCCGCACCUUCACUACAGCAUCGGCUGCAGGCACCCGGGCCCAGGUACCUCCCUGCCUCACCCAGAGGGGGCCCCCCCGGGAGCCCUCACUGACUCCCUCGACCCCGUAGACAGC
rnacentral:lncRNA from 1 species